rnacentral:snoRNA from 22 species
AGCAGUGUCGCUAUGCGUUCCCGUCAGUAAUACGGGCUAACGGUACGAAGCACGUGCGAGAG